CUCCGUCAAUGAAUUUGGAGGAGGCUUGGUCCAUCGCCAGGUUUUCCAUUUUGUGGGGAGGAAAGGAAAGUUGCUGGUCAUGCAGCUAUGAGGAUUCUGGUCCAAGUCUUAUUUAUCUUCGGAAAUUAAUAAAAUGGCUUUCUGAUUUUA